GACGAACGCUGGCGGCGUGCUUAACACAUGCAAGUCGAACGAUGAAGCGGUGCUUGCACCGUGGAUUAGUGGCGAACGGGUGAGUAAUACGUGAGUGACCUACCUUUGACUCUGGGAUAAGCCUGGGAAACUGGGUCUAAUACCGGAUACGACCAAUCUCUGCAUGGGGUUUGGGUGGAAGGCGUUAGGGAGUGGUUUUAGAUGGGCUCACGGCCUAUCAGCUUGUUGGUGAGGUAAUGGCUUACCAAGGCGACGACGGGUAGCCGGCCUGAGAGGGUGACCGGCCAUACUGGGACUGAGACACGGCCCAGACUCCUACGGGAGGCAGCAGUGGGGAAUAUUGCACAAUGGGCGCAAGCCUGAUGCAGCGACGCCGCGUGAGGGAUGACGGCCUUCGGGUUGUAAACCUCUGUUAGCAUCGAAGAAGCGAAAGUGACGGUAGGUGCAGAGAAAGCGCCGGCUAACUACGUG
rnacentral:rRNA from 1 species